UCCGUAGGGUGCCAGCGUUGUCCGGAAUCAUUGGGCGUAAAGCGCGUGUAGGCGGCUUGGUAAGUCCGCUCUGAAAGCCCGGGGCUCAACCCCGGGAGGCGGGUGGAUACUGUCAAGCUCGAGUCCGGAAGAGGCGAGUGGAAUUCCUGGUGUAGCGGUGAAAUGCGCAGAUAUCAGGAGGAACACCAAUGGCGAAGGCAGCUCGCUGGGACGUGACUGACGCUGAGACGCGAAAGCGUGGGGAGCAAACAGG
rnacentral:rRNA from 1 species